AUACGUAGGUGGCAAGCGUUGUCCGGAAUUAUUGGGCGUAAAGCGCGCGCAGGCGGUCCUUUAAGUCUGAUGUGAAAGCCCACGGCUCAACCGUGGAGGGUCAUUGGAAACUGGGGGACUUGAGUGCAGAAGAGGAAAGUGGAAUUCCAAGUGUAGCGGUGAAAUGCAUAGAGAUUUGGGGGAACACCAGUGGCGAAGGCAACUUUCUAGUCUGUAACUGACGCUGAGGCGCGAAAGCGUGGGGAGCAAACAGGAUAAGAUACCCUGGUAGGCCACGCCGUAAACGAUGAGUGCUAAGUGUUGGGGGGUUUCCGCCCCUCAGUGCUGCAGCUAACGCAUUAAGCACUCCGCCUGGGAAGUACGGUCGCAAGACUGAAACUCAAAUGAAUUGACGGGG
rnacentral:rRNA from 1 species